UCUUUUCCUCUCGCCUCCUCAUCUCGUCACCGCUGUCUCUCUCUCUCUCUCUCUCUCUUUCUCCCGCCUCUAAUCCCUCUUCUCCUAUUUCUCCUCCCCCCUACCGCUUCGCAUAGCUGACCGGAGUUGUCGAAAUCGUCGGGUUCUGGUGCCGGCAGUGGAGGGGACAAUGAAUGUGCUUGAGGCAGCUAGGUCUUGCGGGGCCCGCAGGGUCGUGGUGAUGUCAUCGAUAUCGGCAAAGGUGCCGAAUCCUGGAUGGGAGAAGGGGAGGGUCAUGAAUGAGGAGUACUGGGCUGGUCUUGAUUACUGCGAGGAGAGAGAGGUAUCCAGUGUCAAAGACAUCAGCCGAAAAAAUAGCAUGGGAAUAUGCAGAGAAGUAUAACAUGGACAUCGUCGUCAUCAAUCCAUCAACAUGCCUUGGCCUGCUCCUUCACUGUUCUCAAUGCCAGUUCUGCAAUCCUCCAACAACUAUUACAAGGUUACACAAUACGCUGCUUGAAUCAUAAAUUAUGUAGAUUAAUUUCAUUAUGGUAUUCUUUCUACGUAAUAUUUUGUUUUUGGUUAAAUAAAGGGUCGAAGGACAUGUAGCAAUAUCACUGGCUUGGCUGUAAUCAUGUUCGUGAUGUUGCUGCUGCACAAGUUUUGCUCUUGGAGACUCCAAGUGCCUCUGGAAGGCACUUGUGCACUAAUGGGAUAUGUCAGUUCAAAGACUUUGCUGAAACCGUCAACUGUGUCUAGAGUACAAUGUGCACAGAUCAGUGAUGAUUCGGUGCGUAUAUGUCCUCGCCCGAUAUAAUGGACUACCACAAUGAAUAUUCCUUUGAUAAUGCAAACUCCAAGUGAUUUAUUCAACUGACUACUGAGUUUGUUUGUUUACUGGUUUACUGAAGAAACCCAGCCUGGACUAGUAUCACGCAAAGACGCAGCAAAAAAGCUGAUAAAUCUUGGUCUAGUGUUCAGUCCAAUAGAAGAGACAAUCAAAGAAGCUGAGCCUAGCCUGAAAGCAAAUGGUUUUCUUAGUUAGCCUAACUUGCAAUCUUGUUGCUGCUGAGAAUAAUAGUGUUUACAUAUAUGCUCAUAAAUUCUGUAAAUGCUUUGAUAACUUACUUCCCAUUGUUGUGUCCAUUUUUCCUAUGUAAGCAAAUUGGUCUUCCUAAUGAUAAUAACUUUUUUUA